rnacentral:lncRNA from 1 species
UGAGGAGCUGAGGAGGAGGGUCCGGCUGAGGCGGUAGGAGCAGAAGUGGAGGAAAAGUCAGGAUAAUCUGAGUCUGGCUCAGGACUAGGGGAAUGUCUGGUGGUAUGUGUGGAGGUGGAAGACUUCCUAACCCAGGUCCCCUCUACCUUCCGAAACCCCAUCCUGUGUAGGGUCUCCGGACGCAUGCGAUCUGUCCAUCGCAAUGCGCGAG